rnacentral:rRNA from 1 species
CACUUUGCUUAAAUUCUUCGGAUGAAGAGGAUUGUGACUGAGCGGCGGACGGGUGAGUAACGCGUGGGUAACCUGCCUCAUACAGGGGGAUAACAGUUAGAAAUGACUGCUAAUACCGCAUAAGACCACAGCACCGCAUGGUGCGGGGGUAAAAACUCCGGUGGUAUGAGAUGGAUCCGCGUCUGAUUAGCUAGUUGGUAAGGUAACGGCUUACCAAGGCGACGAUCAGUAGCCGACCUGAGAGGGUGACCGGCCACAUUGGGACUGAGACACGGCCCAAACUCCUACGGGAGGCAGCAGUGGGGAAUAUUGCACAAUGGGGGAAACCCUGAUGCAGCGACGCCGCGUGAGCGAAGAAGUAUUUCGGUAUGUAAAGCUCUAUCAGCAGGGAAGAAAAUGACGGUACCUGACUAAGAAGCACCGGCUAAAUACGUGCCAGCAGCCGCGGUAAUACGUAUGGUGCAAGCGUUAUCCGGAUUUACUGGGUGUAAAGGGAGCAUAGACGGAUGGGCAAGUCUGAUGUGAAAACCCGGGGCUCAACCCCGGGACUGCAUUGGAAACUGUUCAUCUAGAGUGCUGGAGAGGUAAGUGGAAUUCCUAGUGUAGCGGUGAAAUGCGUAGAUAUUAGGAGGAACACCAGUGGCGAAGGCGGCUUACUGGACAGUAACUGACGUUG